rnacentral:rRNA from 1 species
UACGUAGGGAGCAAGCGUUGUCCGGAAUCAUUGGGCGUAAAGCGCGCGUAGGUGGCCCCAUAAGUCCGCUGUGAAAGUCAAAGGCUCAACCUUUGAAAGCCGGUGGAUACUGUGGGACUAGAGUACGGAAGAGGCGAGUGGAAUUCCUGGUGUAGCGGUGGAAUGCGCAGAUAUCAGGAGGAACACCAAUAGCGAAGGCAGCUCGCUGGGACGUUACUGACACUGAGGCGCGAAAGCGUGGGGAGUGAACAGG